GAGUUUGAUUAUGGCUCAGGAUGAACGCUAGCUACAGGCUUAACACAUGCAAGUCGAGGGGCAGCAUGAAUAUUGGCUUGCCAAUAUUUGAUGGCGACCGGCGCACGGGUGAGUAACACGUAUCCAACCUUCCGGUUACUCGGGGAUAGGCUUUCGAAAGAAAGAUUAAUACCCGAUGUUGUGUAUCUUUCUCCUGAAAGAUACGCCAAAGGAUUCCGGUAACCGAUGGGGAUGCGUUCCAUUAGGCAGUUGGCGGGGUAACGGCCCACCAAACCUUCGAUGGAUAGGGGUUCUGAGAGGAAGGUCCCCCACAUUGGAACUGAGACACGGUCCAAACUCCUACGGGAGGCAGCAGUGAGGAAUAUUGGUCAAUGGACGGAAGUCUGAACCAGCCAAGUAGCGUGAAGGAUGACUGCCCUCUGGGUUGUAAACUUCUUUUAUACGGGAAUAACAUGAGGUACGGGUACCUUAUUGCAUGACCGUUAUGAAUAAGCUCGCA
rnacentral:rRNA from 1 species